rnacentral:rRNA from 1 species
GAUGAACGCUAGCGGCAGGCUUAACACAUGCAAGUCGAGGGGUAGUUAUCUUCGGAUAAUGAGACCGGCGCACGGGUGCGUAACGCGUAUACAAUCUACCUUUUACAGAGGGAUAGCCCAGAGAAAUUUGGAUUAAUACCUCAUAGUAUUUUUGAAUGGCAUCAUUUGAUUAUUAAAGUUCCAACGGUAAAAGAUGAGUAUGCGUCCCAUUAGCUAGAUGGUAAGGUAACGGCUUACCAUGGCAACGAUGGGUAGGGGUCCUGAGAGGGAGAUCCCCCACACUGGUACUGAGACACGGACCAGACUCCUACGGGAGGCAGCAGUGAGGAAUAUUGGACAAUGGGCGCAAGCCUGAUCCAGCCAUGCCGCGUGCAGGAAGAAGGUCCUAUGGAUUGUAAACUGCUUUUAUACAGGAAGAAACACCUCUACGUGUAGAGACUUGACGGUACUGUAUGAAUAAGGACCGGCUAACUCCGUGCCAGCAGCCGCGGUAAUACGGAGGGUCCAAGCGUUAUCCGGAAUCAUGGGUUUAA